rnacentral:lncRNA from 1 species
AUUCGAUCCAUUCAGCCUGUGGGAUCAUGGGUGGAAGGAUUGAGGUACACAGACAAGGAAGGACACAGGACUAGUGACUCCCAGGAACCCUCAUAUUUUAAUGCUGAGAGGAAUCUGAGACUUUAGGUCCAACCUCUUCCUCCUGCGGGUGCUAAGAUGGGAGAUCUGGAACCUUCUUUCUCUUUUUGGAGAAUUUUCUCAUCUGUCCAACCCUCCUCUGCUUGAGCUCUCAGAACUUGAGCUUCUUUGGUGAAUUCAAACAUGCCUAGAUGGAAUCUUUGACUCACAGACUCUGAGCACCAUAGGCACAUUCAGAGACUCAGAGGACCGAAGAACCUGGGAAGUAAGGCAUUGCUGAGGGAUGCGGAAGCCUGUAUUAGCCCGAGACACACAGCACAGAGAAGAGGUAUCCCGGAAUUGAAGUUUCAGCCUUGGAGGGGCUUCAGUCAUCUCUGCCUAUGACAGAGAAACCUCACUUCAAGGGUCUGUACUUCAAGGAUGGGAAGGUCACCACCCCAAGGAGAUCCCUCCCUGGUGGUCUUACUCCUGGAAACGUCAGAAUCCUGAGACUCUGGAGGAAGGAACAACUUUUGUGGGUCCUCAAUCUCUUUCCACUUUUAUCCUCCAUCUGUUUCGUUAUCGACUUCAGCAGCUUAAUGCACUGGGAGAGCCGGUGACAAACCGUCAGGGAACCAAGGUCUCAGCGACCUCUGCACCGGCUUUUAUCCAUCCAAUUUCAUGCAGCUGGAGCCCUGGCUGCCACUCAGCUGGGAAAUGCGGGAACUGUAUUCAAUCAUAAGGUACAGGCAGGUGACAGGUCUCUUGUCACUGCCCACCCCCAGGUUCCCAAGCUCCCUAAUCAGAGGAACCAUCCUUUGGAAUACCUGUCUCUAUUCCCCUGUUUUUCUUCACAGCUGUUUCUGGGGCAUCAUGAGUGAUUUCUCAGGAGGACGGCCCAGAGCCUCCUCCACAGGGUAGUGCCAGAGAAUAGUGCUCCCAGAACAAGCAUGCGGCAGGUAGCCCCAGGGCCAAAUCCCUACCUUUAUUCUGUGCGUAUGUUUAUGUGUGUGCUUAUGUGUGUGUGUGAGCAUGCAUGUGUAUGUGUGUGCUUGAGUGUGUGUGCGCACGUGGAGACCAGAGGUCAGCCUCAGGAUAUUUGGAGACCCGGGGCUUGCUGAAUCGGUUACACGGCUAUGGAGCACCAGGGUCCCUCCUGCUUCUUCCUUCUUGUUGCUGGGAUGACAAGUGUCUGUACCACCAGGCCAGGUUUUAUUUUGUUCUGAUGUGAGUUUUGGGUUCAAACUGAGGUGGGGGUCUUUGUGCUUGAACAGCAUUCUGAUUUUUUUUUCUUUUUAGGAUUUUUAUUUGUAUGUUUGGUUGAUUGGUUGGUUGGUUGGUCUGUUGGUUGUUUUUUGUUUGUUUGUUUGUUUUUUGAGACAGGAUUUCUCCGAGUAGCCCUGGCUGUCCUUAAACUCAUUCUGUAGACCAGGCUGGCCUCGAACUCACAGAGAUCCGCCUGCCCUUGCCUCUAGAAUGCUAGGAUUAAAGGUGUGUACUGCCACCUCCUGGUCUUGAAGGGUUUUAGCCAACUGACACAAACUAGAGCUAGUUACCCAUGAAGAGGAACUUCAGAAAUGUUUCCACCGGACUGUCUAUGGAUGAGACUGUGGGCAUUUUUCACAAUUGCUAGUUGACAGGGAAGCAUCCAGUCCACUGUGGGUAGCACCAUCCCUAAGCAGGUGCUCCUGAGUUGUAGAAGGAAGCAGGCUGAGUAAGCCAUGAGGAGCAAGCCAGUAAGUAGAACUCCUCUAUGGACUUUGCUUCAGUUCCUGCCUCCAGGGUCCUGUCUUGCUUGAGUUUCUUCCCUGAUCCCUCAGAAAUGGACGGCUACCUGGAAAUGUAUGGGGAAAAAGAUCCUUUCUUCUCAGGUUGCUUUUGCUUAUUGGUGAGUUUUAUCUCACAGAAAGAUAAAAGAAGACACACAGAAAGCAUGUCUUGUCUAAGCAUCCUCCAGCCUUCCCCUUUAAUUUUUACUAGUACAUAUUUCUUUACAUCUUAGGGAACAUAUUUGGCUACUCAUUUCCAUAGGGGGAAAAAAAGUAGUAAUUUAUCUCUCAAGGCCCUGGAGGCUGAAGUCUAUGAUCUGCGUACUAACUGGAUCUACUUCUACUGUGGCCUGUCUGCCUGAACACAUAGGUGACUGCCUACCUUCUGGGUCCUCAGACUACAAGGGCAGGGAAUGUGACCAUGAAACCCUCACACACAUGAGACCAUCACCAUCACAUGGUUGGGAGGAAUGUUCAGGACUUAGCAUACAAAUUCCCCAUAUGGGUAUGCUAGGGACUAGGGGUAUAUUGCUGUCACUGCAAGGGGUGGAACUGUCCCACUUCUAAAAUUUAAAACAUGCUCAAGCUAGAUACGUUGCCUCCAGCCAGAUGUAUAAUCCUAGUAUUCUAGAGGUUGAGAUGGAGUCUUGGGUGGGGGUGGGAGUUGCUGUAAGUUUGAUACCAGCCUGGGUUAUUUAGUGAACACCAGGCCAGCCUGGGCUACUUAGUGAGCACCAGGCCAGCCAGAGUCAAACAGCAAGACCUUGACUCAAAGCAAACACAAUUUUGUGCCUAUUUCUGUCCUUGGGUCCUCAAGUCCUUUGUAGCUACUGGGCCAUGUCAUGUCCAAAUUAAACACAGCAGCAGAAGCAGAAGCAACAGCAGCCAUUUUGCCGUCCUGUGUCCCCCACGGCGUUUUGGGUACAUUCACUCAGUUCAGCAUCAGCAUCAGCCUAUGGGGCAGAUUGCUUACAAGAUAGGGAAACUGAAGCUGGGGUUGUGCCGUGACACUCCUAAGAUCCUGUGUGAUAUCAGAAAGAUUUCUGCUCGGGUCUGGGUGAGGCCAGAACCCGCUCUUUCCACCAAGGCUUUGUAUUCCUACCUACACUCAAUGCUUUCGUUUGUUUAUGCACAGUAGGACUAAUAUGUCAGGCACUUGCUGGGCAUUCGGGAGUGCCUCCUCUGGCAAACAUUCCCCACCCUUUGCUUCAGUCAGUUCCUCUGCCUCCAUCAGCGCUGAGUGUUCAGAGAGUGGGGUCCUUGAGUUUUAACUAGCAGUGGCCCCUGUUGUUUCCUUUCCACUCAUUCACCAUUAUUUCUGCUGCUCCUGUGCAAUCCAGGGCUUUCUUAUUGUUAGAGUCAAGCAGGUCACCUAGAGAAAACACACUGCUGUGUGGACAGCUUGUUCUAGGUUUUACCCACUUCUGUUGUCACCACUGUCUACUGUGUGCUCUGCAGCCCUGAAGACAUUUCUCUCUUGUUUGUGAGUGGGCAUCUGCUGUGUGUGUGCGCACGCACAAUCUAU